rnacentral:rRNA from 1 species
UACGGGGGGGGCAAGCGUUGUUCGGAAUUACUGGGCGUAAAGGGCGCGUAGGCGGCCUUCUAAGUCGGACGUGAAAUCCCUCGGCCUAACCGAGGAACUGCGUCCGAUACUGAAAGGCUUGAAUCCGGGAGAGGGAUGUGGAAUUCCAGGUGUAGCGGUGAAAUGCGUAGAUAUCUGGAGGAACACCAAUGGCGAAGGCAGCACUCUGGGACGUGACUGACGCUGAGACGCGAAAGCGUGGGGAGCAAACAGG